CAUCCAGGACGUGGGGACACCUGCCCCCUCGGGAUGAGGCACCUGUUUCUGGCCUGUGCUGCUCCCAGGAGGCGUCUUCACCACAGACUCUGACUCCGUCCUGGACACACGAGUCCAGCGGCAGCUAACGAGAAAGAGCACCUCGCCCAGGCAGCCUCAGCUGUCGUUAGAUACUGACCCGCCGGAAGGAAACUCCAGCCUCACAGCUCGCAGCAAUGACUUCACCAUCGGCAGAUUUCUCACACAGACCUGAUAGAAAAGGCUGGAACGACAGGAAAAGCCAAAGCAAGUUGUUGGUCGGUCCCUCCGUGGGGAGCUGGCUGCAGUGUCGGUGGGCGGAGCGUGGAC